rnacentral:lncRNA from 1 species
CUGGAACAAAAGCUGUCAGUGCCUCUUUACACCACUUGCAGAAACACAAGAGACCACUGGGAAAUUGUCUCCCAACAGUAAGGAGGAGAGAGAGAGUCAAUUCAUGGUUUGGCCUUUUUUAAAAAGAGAAAUGGUUUUCUAAGUUUCUUGUUGGUGGAGACCCCAUAACCCUGACUUCAGAAGUAGACUUCAGAAUAGUGGUAAAACCUGAUACAUCAGUCCUGGAGUAUUGGAUGAUGCCAUUCUCAAAGAAGAAGUGGAGGAAGAAGAGGAAGAGGAGAAAAAAGAGAAGAGGAAGACGUAUAAAUAUGAAUGCCCAUUCAAAGUAAAAAGAUGCUCAAUCUUUCUAACAAAGAAUUUCCCGCCAUAAAUGUAUGUAAAAAAUUAUGUGAAGGAAGUUUCUCACAAAACAUGUUAUAAUAUGGAUGGUUCACUUGAAUCCAGGAGUUUGCCGGAACUCAGAGGCAGCGCUGGAAUUCGCCGGGUUUCCAGUAGAUGGCAGGCAUCCUCUUUCAUUUCAGUGGCAUCUAGCUGAAGAAAUGCUGCUAUUUCAAACCUACUUCUUUGCGUGAGACAGCUGCACUUGCAUCAAAAAAUGGCAAAGGCCCUGAUUCACAAGUUUAGUCAAAUUUAGAAUCAAGUUAUUCAAGCUGAAACUGAAAAUAUAUUGUGAUAUUUAAAAGUUUCAUUUGGAGACUGUAUAUUCAUUCAUUCGUUUGGCAAACAGUAAGUGCCUCGUAUGUGUUUUUCAUACUUUGUUUCAUUUACUCCUCCCCCUAACAAUGAGAUUAAGUGUUUUUAUUAGUCUCACUUUAGAGAUUGGGGAAUUGAGGCUUGAAGAGAUUAAAUAAUUUAUUAGCCUGAAGGGGUUCCAGAACAGGCCUCCCCAAGAUGUGCCACUUUGGCAUGUGGAAUAUUUUGAGCUAAAGGCAAUCUAGACCCUGUGAGCGCAAGAGAAACUUUUACGUCUUCUUUAAAGAAUUUAAAUUGGAGGCCUUGCCCGUAAUAAGAGUUACUGCUAUAAAUAAAUUUUAAUGACCUAUCUGUUAUGGGAGGGCAAACCUCUAAUUGCUGAACGUCUGCUCUUCUUAUCAUCCUGUGAAUUGCCCUCAUCCCCUCUAAAGCCUCAGGCCCCUGUCCCAUUCCUUAGCUCAAGAUGGCAAAUUUACCUCAUUUUACCUUUUGUCUAACAACUUCUCAGGUUUGUGAGCUCUCUGACCCUCUCAUGUAUGUGGGCUUCCUGCACAUACAAAAUUAAAUUUUAUUUUCUCCUGUUAAUCUGUCUCAUGUCAAUUUAAUUCUUAGACCAGCCAGAAUAACCUAGAAGGGCAGAGGAAAAUCCCUCCCCCACAAGCCCAAGAUAAACUGUC